GAUGAAGAACGUAGCGAAAUGCGAUACGGAGUGUGAAUUGCAGAAUUCAGUGAAUCAUCGAAUCUUUGAACGCACAUUGCACCUCUCGGUAUUCCGGGAGGUAUGCCUGUUCGAGCGUCAUUUGUACCCUCAAGCUCUGCUUGGUGUUGGGUGUUUGUUCCGCCUCUGUGUGUGAACUCGCCUCAAAACAAUUGGCAGCCGGCGUACUUGUUUCGGAGCGCAGCACAUUUUGCGAUCCAGAUCAACGUACAGCGGCAUCCAAGAAGCCUUAUUUAACGCUCUUGACCUCGGAUCAGGUAGGGAUACCCGCUGAACUUAAGCAUAUCAAUAAGCGGAGGA
rnacentral:misc_RNA from 1 species